AUGAGGGCGAUUCAACAUAGAAUCGACUUAAUUCCGGGCGGAAGUCUCCCUAAUCUUUCACACUAUCGAAUGAGCCCAAAAGAGCAUGAUAUAUUGAAGGAGAAAGUGGACGAAUUGCUGCAAAAGGGGCACAUUCGAGAAGGUAUUAGCUCAUGUGUUGUACCAGCCCUGCUCAUGCCCAAGAAAGAUGGAUCUUGGCGAAUGUGUACGGAUAGUAGAGCCAUUAACAAGAUCACCAUAAGGUAUAGAUUCCCUAUUCCCCGUCUGGAUGAUAUGUUGGAUCAACUUAGUGGAGCAAGAGUGUUCACAAAGCUAGAUUUAAGAAGCGGAUAUUAUCAAAUUCGUAUCAGACCUGGGGAUGAAUGGAAAACAGCCUUCAAAACAAAGGAAGGGUUGUUUGAAUGA
rnacentral:rRNA from 1 species